UACAGAGGUCCCAAGCGUUGUUCGGAUUCACUGGGCGUAAAGGGCGCGUAGGUGGCGGGACAAGCGUGCGGUGAAAGCUCGGGGCUCAACCCCGAGUCGGCCGUGCGAACUGUUUUGCUGGAGCACUGUAGAGGCAGGCGGAAUUCCGGGUGUAGCGGUGGAAUGCGUAGAUAUCGAGAGGAACACCGGUGGCGAAGGCGGCCAACUGGACGAAUACUGACGCUGAGACACGAAAGCGUGGGGAGCAAACAGG
rnacentral:rRNA from 1 species